UGCCAAGUGAGUUAAUAGGAAAUAUUGUU
rnacentral:piRNA from 1 species